UUGAGUUCAAGAGUACGUGAAACCGUCUGGGAGUAAACGGGUGGUUCCCGAAAGUGCGAAAGGGGAGAUUCAGGUCUCGCCGCGCGCCGGGCUGCUCCCGCGACAAGGGAUGGCUCUCUCGCGGCCGUGGGGCGACCCACGGUCCGGGAGGGNCGACCCACGGUCCGGGAGCGCCACUCCGCGGGUGCGGCCCGGCGUCGGAGUGACGCACUUCUCCCCCGGUAGAACGUCGCGAUCCGUCGGUCGCCGGCCUAAGGCCCCGGGUGGAGUCGCCCGCGCUCGACCCCGGGGAUCCCGGCCGGGAGCCCGACGGUAUGAAAAGAGGAAGGAGUCGGCGCGCCUAGGCGUCCGCCCCUCCGCAAGCGCCCGCGGGAGUCGGAGGCGGGCCCGGCCCGGCUUCCCUUCAGCGGGGCNNNNNNNNNNNNNNNNNNNNNNNNNNUCGCGGCGGUGCGCGCAGAAGGGUCUGGGCUCGAGCCUGCCUGGAGCCGCCGCCGGUGCAGAUCUUGGUGGUAGUAGCAAAUACUCCAGCGAGGCCCUGGAGGACUGAUGUGGAGAAGGGUUUCGUGUGAACAGCCGUUGCACACGAGUCAGUCGAUCCUAAGCCCUAGGAGAAAUCCGAUGCAAACGGCGAUGGGAAACGCCCAUUGAACGGGCGAAAGGGAAUCCGGUUCCUAUUCCGGAACCCGGCUGCGGAACCGUUGUUUGUCGGGCCCUCGCAAGGGGUUCGUCAGGGCAACCUAAAAGGGCCCGGAGACGCCGUCGGGGGCCCCGGAAAGAGUUUUCUUUUCUCCAUGAGCGUUCGAGUUCCCUGGAAUCCUCUCGCAGGGAGAUAGGGUUUGGAACGCGAAGAGCACCGCAGUUGCGGCGGUGCACGGGAAUUCCCGACGGACCUUGAAAAUCCGGGAGAGGGCCACGUGGAGGUGUCGCGCCGGUUCGUACCCAUAUCCGCAGCAGGUCUCCAAGGUGAAGAGCCUCUAGUCNNNNNNNNNNNNNNNNNNNNNNNNNNNGACGCCCCGGGAGUGACGGGAGGCUCCUCCCGCACUCCCGGGGCGUCUGAUUCCUCUCUUUGAGGGAAGGCGCACCCAGAGCGCACACGUUGGGACCCCAAAGAUGGAGAACUAU
rnacentral:rRNA from 1 species